rnacentral:snoRNA from 1 species
UCCUCUGAUGAAACGGCACUGGGCUCUGAUUAUAUACUUAAGAGUAGACAAGCCAUUUUGUGACAGGCCUAGAAAACCUCGUCCACUGAUU